GCAGCACAUCUGGUGGACAGAUGUCUAUCUCUCCUCCAUCUCUUGUUUUCUCUCCCUCUGUACUUUUUCCUUUAGGCAGGCCUGGUGUUAAUCCCUCUCUCCUCCACCUGGACCAGACCACCCACACAUUGAGCAGGGCAGCGGCAGCCCACCAGCAGAGAGCAAGAUGGGGGGCUGACAACAGGGCCGAAUCCCUCCACCACGCUGUGAACACACCAGUGGAAUUUGGACGACGGCAGUGCUGAUGAUGAGAAAUAUGAGAGAGGAAGACACAAUACUCUGUUGUUCCACGCAGUGUCAUCGUGACCUUAGGACCGUAUAGGACGAUGAGCGUUGGUACCCUCACACCUGUGGCUGCGGCAGAUAUAUCCUGUUUGGAAAAGGCCUCACCGAACACCCUAAUCCAUCC